rnacentral:rRNA from 1 species
CUCAUACAGGGGGAUAACAGUUAGAAAUGACUGCUAAUACCGCAUAAGCGCACAGGACCGCAUGGUCCGGUGUGAAAAACUCCGGUGGUAUGGGAUGGAUCCGCGUCUGAUUAGCUGGUUGGUGAGGUAACGGCCCACCAAGGCGACGAUCAGUAGCCGACCUGAGAGGGUGGCCGGCCACAUUGGGACUGAGACACGGCCCAAACUCCUACGGGAGGCAGCAGUGGGGAAUAUUGCACAAUGGGGGAAACCCUGAUGCAGCAACGCCGCGUGAGUGAAGAAGUAUUUCGGUAUGUAAAGCUCUAUCAGCAGGGAAGAAGAAAGACGGUACCUGACUAAGAAGCCCCGGCUAACUACGUGCCAGCAGCCGCGGUAAUACGUAGGGGGCAAGCGUUAUCCGGAUUUACUGGGUGUAAAGGGAGCGUAGACGGCUGUGCAAGUCUGAAGUGAAAGCCCGUGGCUCAACCGCGGAACUGCUUUGGAAACUGUAUAGCUUGAGUACUGGAGAGGCAGGCGGAAUUCCUAGUGUAGCGGUGAAAUGCGUAGAUAUUAGGAGGAACACCAGUGGCGAAGGCGGCCUGCUGGACAGAAACUGACGUUGAGGCUCGAAAGCGUGGGGAGCAAACAGGAUUAGAUACCCUGGUAGUCCACGCGGUAAACGAUGAAUGCUAGGUGUUGGGGAGCAAAG